AGAGUUUGAUCCUGGCUCAGGACGAACGCUGGCGGCGUGCUUAACACAUGCAAGUCACGGGGGCUCCGCAAGGGGCAACCGGCGAACGGGUGCGUAACACGUGAGGAACCUGCCGCGUUCCGGGGGAUAGCCGGCCCAACGGCCGGGUAAUACCGCAUACGCUUGGCUAGGGGAGUCCCUGGCUAAGGAAACCUCCGGGG
rnacentral:rRNA from 1 species